GGGCGUACCCAAGAGUGGGCGUAACCACACGGAGAGGCUGCAGACAGAUACAAUUGAGCUCACGAGGCAAGUAGAAUGGCUUCCAGUUCAAAAACAGCGACUCUAAAUGCGGGCUGCAGUGCGUGCUGAGCUCCGUGACGUCUGUACACCAUUUUUCGUUGCUGUAGAAGCAUGUCCCGCCGCCUUUUGUUUUCCCGGGUAACUCCAGGACUCGGUCUGUCCGGUGAAGAUGGAAGCCGGGAAAGCAUGACGUCGCCAUCUCGGGGACAGCAUCAAAAGCCAAGUCUCCGUAAAGCACAGGGCGGCGGAACGUCGGAAGUCUUUACUGGUCUUUAUCAGAAGAUGAAGGUCGUCCAUUUUGUUGGGUAGGGAGCGUAGAUUCUCGAGGUGGAUCGACGGAAACGCCAAUCUGUAUCCUCUCUUGCGGAGUUUAACUUGGAUGCUGGCUCGCUUCCCUCUGUCGCCAUGCGCCAAAGACCACCGCAGUCGCUGCUCCGUGGAUUUUUUCACCUGUGGUUCUGAGUCGGUGGUCCCCCGGGAGAACACCGGCUUCCGAUGGGCAGGAAUGAAUGAAGACUUCGAGACACCGCGGCUUUUGGGCUAAUUAGAUUUAUUGAACAAGCCUUCGUGUCAUAGCAGCUGCUUACAAGGCCAGAACAAAGAAAAAAGCUCCCAAAACUCCUGGAUGCCAGUUUAUAAAGGUUUAAUUAUCUGGGCGUGGAAUUAACCCAGCCCCUGGGUUUAACCGGAAUUUGGACGCUCUGCAUGACCAUAUUUGGAGUGUUCUAUUGGCCACAAGGUGGCACUCUGUGUCCGUGAAAUACCCACACCCGCCCACUGGCGACAAACAGACUGGCCAGGCGAACAAAUAGUACCGUUAUCUCGUAAGGUGCAAAACAGUCCUCUUUGAAGACCGGAACUCCUGUUGUAAACCAAAGACAGGUUAUUGUCUGACAAGAGAAGGAAAACCCUCAUAAACGCACAAAUGGCUGAAGGAAUUCCUUUGAUGUAGAAAUAUAAAGAAAAAAUGGUUGGCUUGAUUACUGAUCUCAAAACACUUGGUCCUCUCAAAAUAAUUCUGACUUCAGUACUGUUCAAAUAUACUCCAGUUUUAAAUGUUUCUAAGAUGUUUUUCCUUUCUUUGGUUUCAAAUGCUUUUAAUCAUGUAAAGCACAUUGAGUUACCUUGUGUAUGAAAUGCGCUACAUAAAUAAAUUUGCGUUGCCAUG